rfam:Callithrix jacchus chromosome 4, whole genome shotgun sequence
GCUGGCUGUGGUGGUGCACGUGCCUGUAGUUCUAUCUGUUCAAGAGGUUAAGACAAGAGGAUUAUUUGAGCCUAUGAGUUCUGGGCUGUAGUACUCUAUGCAGAUUGGGUGUCCACAUUAAGUAUCAGUGUGGUAAACUCCCAGGAGCUGGGAACCACCAAGUUGCCUAAGGAGUCAUGAACCAGCCCACUUUGGAAAUGGAGCAGGUCAAAACUCCCAUGCUGAUCCGUAGUGGGAUCAUACCUUUGAAUAGUCUCUGCACUCUAGCAUGGACAACAUAGUAAGACCUCAUCACUU